rnacentral:rRNA from 1 species
GACGAACGCUGGCGGCGUGCUUAACACAUGCAAGUCGAACGGAAAGGCCCUGCUUUUGUGGGGUGCUCGAGUGGCGAACGGGUGAGUAACACGUGAGUAACCUGCCCUUGACUUUGGGAUAACUUCAGGAAACUGGGGCUAAUACCGGAUAGGAGCUCCUGCUGCAUGGUGGGGGUUGGAAAGUUUCGGCGGUUGGGGAUGGACUCGCGGCUUAUCAGCUUGUUGGUGGGGUAGUGGCUUACCAAGGCUUUGACGGGUAGCCGGCCUGAGAGGGUGACCGGCCACAUUGGGACUGAGAUACGGCCCAGACUCCUACGGGAGGCAGCAGUGGGGAAUAUUGCACAAUGGGCGGAAGCCUGAUGCAGCAACGCCGCGUGCGGGAUGACGGCCUUCGGGUUGUAAACCGCUUUCGCCUGUGACGAAGCGUGAGUGACGGUAAUGGGUAAAGAAGCACCGGCUAACUACGUGCCAGCAGCCGCGGUGAUAUGUAGGGUGCGAGCGUUGUCCGGAUUUAUUGGGCGUAAAGGGCUCGUAGGUGGUUGAUCGCGUCGGAAGUGUAAUCUUGGGGCUUAACCCUGAGCGUGCUUUCGAUACGGGUUGACUUGAGGAAGGUAGGGGAGAAUGGAAUUCCUGGUGGAGCGGUGGAAUGCGCAGAUAUCAGGAGGAACACCAGUGGCGAAGGCGGUUCUCUGGGCCUUUCCUGACGCUGAGGAGCGAAAGCGUGGGGAGCGAACAGGCUUAGAUACCCUGGUAGUCCACGCUGUAAACGGUGGGUACUAGGUGUGGGGUCCAUUCCACGGGUUCCGUGCCGUAGCUAACGCUUUAAGUACCCCGCCUGGGGAGUACGGCCGCAAGGCUAAAACUCAAAGGAAUUGACGGGGCCCCGCACAAGCGGCGGAGCAUGCGGAUUAAUUCGAUGCAACGCGUAGAACCUUACCUGGGUUUGACAUGGAUCGGGAGUGCUCAGAGAUGGGUGUGCCUCUUUUGGGGUCGGUUCACAGGUGGUGCAUGGCUGUCGUCAGCUCGUGUCGUGAGAUGUUGGGUUAAGUCCCGCAACGAGCGCAACCCUUGUUCACUGUUGCCAGCACGUUAUGGUGGGGACUCAGUGGAGACCGCCGGGGUCAACUCGGAGGAAGGUGGGGAUGACGUCAAGCCAUCAUGCCCCUUAUGUCCAGGGCUUCACGCAUGCUACAAUGGCUGGUACAGAGAGUGGCGAGCCUGUGAGGGUGAGCGAAUCUCGGAAAGCCGGUCUCAGUUCGGAUUGGGGUCUGCAACUCGACCUCAUGAAGUCGGAGUCGCUAGUAAUCGCAGAUCAGCAACGCUGCGGUGAAUACGUUCCCGGG